rnacentral:rRNA from 1 species
AUUGAACGCUGGCGGCAUGCCUUACACAUGCAAGUCGAACGGCAGCACGGGAGCAAUCCUGGUGGCGAGUGGCGAACGGGUGAGUAAAGUAUCGGAACGUGCCCAGUCGUGGGGGAUAACGUAGCGAAAGUUACACUAAUACCGCAUACGAUCUAUGGAUGAAAGCGGGGGAUCGCAAGACCUCGCGCGAUUGGAGCGGCCGAUAUCAGAUUAGGUAGUUGGUGGGGUAAAGGCUCACCAAGCCGACGAUCUGUAGCUGGUCUAAGAGGACGACCAGCCACACUGGGACUGAGACACGGCCCAGACUCCUACGGGAGGCAGCAGUGGGGAAUUUUGGACAAUGGGCGAAAGCCUGAUCCAGCCAUGCCGCGUGCGGGAUGAAGGCCUUCGGGUUGUAAACUGCUUUUGUACGGAACGAAAAGGUUUGGGCUAAUAAGCUGAGCUCAUGACGGUACCGUAAGAAUAAGCACCGGCUAACUACGUGCCAGCCGCCGCAGUAA